ACGAACGCUGGCGGCGUGCCUAAUACAUGCAAGUUGAGCGCUGAAGGUUGGUACUUGUACCGACUGGAUGAGCAGCGAACGGGUGAGUAACGCGUGGGGAAUCUGCCUUUGAGCGGGGGACAACAUUUGGAAACGAAUGCUAAUACCGCAUAAAAACUUUAAACACAAGUUUUAAGUUUGAAAGAUGCAAUUGCAUCACUCAAAGAUGAUCCCGCGUUGUAUUAGCUAGUUGGUGAGGUAAAGGCUCACCAAGGCGAUGAUACAUAGCCGACCUGAGAGGGUGAUCGGCCACAUUGGGACUGAGACACGGCCCAAACUCCUACGGGAGGCAGCAGUAGGGAAUCUUCGGCAAUGGACGAAAGUCUGACCGAGCAACGCCGCGUGAGUGAAGAAGGUUUUCGGAUCGUAAAACUCUGUUGGUAGAGAAGAACGUUGGUGAGAGUGGAAAGCUCAUCAAGUGACGGUAACUACCCAGAAAGGGACGGCUAACUACGUGCCAGCAGCCGCGGUAAUACGUAGGUCCCGAGCGUUGUCCGGAUUUAUUGGGCGUAAAGCGAGCGCAGGUGGUUUAUUAAGUCUGGUGUAAAAGGCAGUGGCUCAACCAUUGUAUGCAUUGGAAACUGGUAGACUUGAGUGCAGGAGAGGAGAGUGGAAUUCCAUGUGUAGCGGUGAAAUGCGUAGAUAUAUGGAGGAACACCGGUGGCGAAAGCGGCUCUCUGGCCUGUAACUGACACUGAGGCUCGAAAGCGUUGGGAGCAAACAGGAUUAGAUACCCUGGUAGUCCACGCCGUAAACGAUGAGUGCUAGAUGUAGGGAGCUAUAAGUUCUCUGUAUCGCAGCUAACGCAAUAAGCACUCCGCCUGGGGAGUACGACCGCAAGGUUGAAACUCAAAGGAAUUGACGGGGGCCCGCACAAGCGGUGGAGCAUGUGGUUUAAUUCGAAGCAACGCGAAGAACCUUACCAGGUCUUGACAUACUCGUGCUAUUCCUAGAGAUAGGAAGUUCCUUCGGGACACGGGAUACAGGUGGUGCAUGGUUGUCGUCAGCUCGUGUCGUGAGAUGUUGGGUUAAGUCCCGCAACGAGCGCAACCCCUAUUGUUAGUUGCCAUCAUUAAGUUGGGCACUCUAACGAGACUGCCGGUGAUAAACCGGAGGAAGGUGGGGAUGACGUCAAAUCAUCAUGCCCCUUAUGACCUGGGCUACACACGUGCUACAAUGGAUGGUACAACGAGUCGCGAGACAGUGAUGUUUAGCUAAUCUCUUAAAACCAUUCUCAGUUCGGAUUGUAGGCUGCAACUCGCCUACAUGAAGUCGGAAUCGCUAGUAAUCGCGGAUCAGCACGCCGCGGUGAAUACGUUCCCGGGCCUUGUACACACCGCCCGUCACACCACGGGAGUUGGGAGUACCCGAAGUAGGUUGCCUAACCGCAAGGAGGGCGCUUCCUAAGGUAAGACCGAUGACUGGGGUG
rnacentral:rRNA from 1 species